rnacentral:rRNA from 1 species
CUUUCUGCAGAUUAUACAUUGACCGACCGUGAUGUAUGUGCUCAUAUAGCAAUAGAAACAUCUUUUGAAAAACAAUUGCUGGUGAAGAUAGAUGAAAUAUCUGUGAAACAACAUCAAAUGAUGUGCCUGCUAAAUGAAAAAGAGUGGCUAAAUGAUGAUGUAAUCAGCGCAUAUAUAUGUUGUAUAAAGGACCAAGUAUAGGUCCAGAAUGAUAGUAAAGUAUAUUUUGAGAAUCCCUUUGUUACCGCACUGUUAAAACGGGAUGGCAAGCUUGGAAUACAUGAAGAUGGUACCUUUAUGACAGAGAUUGUCAAAACCUAUGUGAAUCAUGACAUGAUUAAACUUCCAAUAAAUAUGAACAAUACACAUUGGUAUUUGGCUGUUGUGAAUGCAAAAAAGUGUGAGAUUCAAGUACUGGACUCACUGUGUUGUGAGUUUAACCGAGAUGAUCUCACUGCUACGCUACAAGGGCUACAAUAUCAUUUGGACAUUCUGAAAAGUCAAAUUUUUAUUAGUCCUAAUUGGAAAGACUUUGAUGUUAGUAAAUGGAAUAUAGUAGAACAACUACAGAAGCCAAUUCAAAAAGAUAGUUCAUAUUGUGGUCUAUUUAUGCUUAAAUUCAUGGAAUAUUGAACUGGAUAUGCACUAUCCUAUCCAAUUACACAGGAUAUUAUUACUUCUUUUAGGUAUAAGUUAGCCAGCAUACUAUUAUGUUGGAAAACAAAUACUGCUGGAAUGACUACAACAGCCGAACAAAGUGAUGACGACACUAAGGAGAAUGAUGUGGAAAUGUUGGAAAGUCUAGAUAAUAAUAAAAAAACUGAAAAUAAAUAUGAAUCAUUAUUAUCUGUUCUUUCUAACAUAAGCCCACAGGAGUUGAUGGGUGGAAUUUGCAGCUACAUCCAAUCAAUCGAUUCCACUGAGAUUUUAGAGAAAGUAUGGGUACAGAGCUCCAACCCAUAUACAAUUAGGUUGACUCUCAAACAACUACAAACAAUUCUAAAUGACGAUUCUCCCUUGGAUCUUGAUUGUUUCAAUAUGGUCGUGCGCAAAUUUAUGUUUGACGACAUUCAAACGGCCAAAAAGAAAAAGGGAUUGAUAUCAAAACAUUAUUUAGACAUGCAAUUUUGGUUAGAUGUGGAACAACUAGCAUAUUCUGUUCGUAGUUGGCCUGGUUUCAACUAUAAUAUUUCAGCAUGCAAAUCGAUUCAUAUUCUAGUACAUUCCAAUGGUGAUUUCAUUCUCUUCAUAUUGGACAAAGAUACACAUACUGUCCAUAUUUUGGAUCCUACCCCUAUCGAUCCUAUCUACCAAUAUAAUCCACAUGCAAAAUAUUUGCACAGACUUAUAUGGAUUGCAGAAUAUUUAUCGAAAGCAAUGUCAAAGGCAUGCCCUGGGUCUAGAUGGAAUGAGAAUAUUCUCCUAUGGUGGCAUAAAAUCGUAGAUGAUAUUCCCGUUUACAACAGGUAA